rnacentral:rRNA from 1 species
CCUACGGGUGGCAGCAGUGAGGAAUAUUGGUCAAUGGGCGCGAGCCUGAACCAGCCAAGUAGCGUGAAGGAUGACUGCCCUACGGGUUGUAAACUUCUUUUAUAAAGGAAUAAAGUGAGGCACGUGUGCCUUUUUGUAUGUACUUUAUGAAUAAGGAUCGGCUAACUCCGUGCCAGCAGCCGCGGUAAUACGGAGGAUCCGAGCGUUAUCCGGGUUUAUUGGGGUUAAAGGGAGAGUAGAUGGGUUGAUAAGUCAGUUGUGAAAGUUUGCGGCUUAACCGUAAAAUUGCAAUUGAUACUGGCAGCCUUGAGUACAGGUGAGGUAGGCGGAAUUCGUGGUGUAGCGGUGAAAUGCUUAGAGAUCACGAAGAACUCCGAUUGCGAAGGCAGCUUACUAAACUGCCACUGACAUUGAUGCUCGAAAGUGUGGGUAUCAAACAGGAUUAGAUACCCUUGUAGUC